rnacentral:rRNA from 1 species
UCCGACUGUUUAACAAAAACAUAACCUUUAGCCCCAAACCAGUAUUAAAGGCAACGCCUGCCCAGUGAAUAAUUAAACGGCCGCGGUAUCCUAACCGUGCAAAGGUAGCGUAAUCACUUGUCUAUUAAUUGUAGACCUGUAUGAAAGGCAAAAUGAAGGCCUAACUGUCUCUUAUAAUAAAUCAAUUAAACUGAUCCCCCAGUACAAAAGCUGGUAUAUCAACAUAAGACCAGAAGACCCUGUGAAGCUUAAAAUAAACUACUAAACCCUAUACUAACUACUUUCGGUUGGGGCGACCUUGGAAAAAAAAAGAACUUCCAAUAGGCCAACAAGCCAAAAAUUGACCCAGUAUAACUGAUAAUAGAACCAAGUUACUCCAGGGAUAACAGCGCCAUCUUCCUCAAGAGCCCAUAUCAAAAGGAAGGUUUACGACCUCGAUGUUGGAUCAGGACAUCCUAAUGGUGCAGCAGCUAUUAAGGGUUCGUUUGUUCAACGAUUAAUAGUCCYACGUGAUCUGAGUUCAGACCGGAGA